GCCCUUGUAGCUUAGCGGUAUAGUGGCUGCCUCGUAAGCAGCAGGUCGUGGGUUCGAUUCCCACCAAGGGCU
rnacentral:tRNA from 1 species